rnacentral:lncRNA from 1 species
CUUAGCUGCCACAGAGUUUUCUGCUCUGUCCUUACUGAAUGCUUCCACCAACAAGGCCAUAUACCUCAUGAAUCCCAUCUAGGCAGUCCACCUCAGCAAGGGAAGGAUUACAUUGAACAGUGACCACUGGCAGUCCAGCAUCAUGGGAACACCGGAAUGGAGAUAGCAAGGUUCCAACUGAAGGGUUUAGAAGAAAAAGUCUCCUCAUCAACAGAAGUCGUAGAAAUGGAAGAGAGAGAGGACUUCAGGCCAGAUGGGACGCAUUAGACAGGAAGAGAAACUUGCAUGAGAACAAUUUAUAGGCCCCCUCCUUCCCUUUGCCAGAUAGAAUCCUACCUAUCCUUUGAGGCUCAUCUGCUCCAAGAAGCCUUCCUCUUCAAACUUCAAUCAACAACCAUCUCUUCACUCAAUGACAGCCCAAAUAUACCUAUUAUCUGUGCUACAUGUCUCAGAACCUAAUUAUAUUCAAUUUAUCACCUUAUUAUAUGGUGUCCUAUAUUCUUCAUGGUUUU